AGUGAGCGCUGGCGGUAGGCCUAACACAUGCAAGUCGAACGGCAGCACAGUAAGAGCUUGCUCUUACGGGUGGCGAGUGGCGGACGGGUGCGGAAUACAUCGGAAUCUACUUUUUCGUGGGGAUAACGUAGGGAAACUUACGCUAAUACCGCAUACGACCUACGGGUGAAAGCUGGGGAUCUUCGGACCUUGCGCGAUUGAAUGAGCCGAUGUCGGAUUAGCUAGUUGGCGGGGUAAAGGCCCACCAAGGCGACGAUCCGUAGCUGGUCUGAGAGGAGGAUCAGCCACACUGGAACUGAGACAGGGUCCAGACUCCUACGGGAGGCAGCGGUGGGGAAUAUUGGACAAUGGGCGCAAGCCUGAUCCAGCCAGACCGCGUGGGUGAAGAAGGCCUUCGGGUUGUAAAGCCCUUUUGUUGGGAAAGAAAAGCAGCAGGUUAAUACCCCGCUGUUCUGACGGUACCCAAAGAAUAAGCACCGGCUAACUUCGG
rnacentral:rRNA from 1 species